rnacentral:misc_RNA from 1 species
GCAAACUUGGUCAUUUAGAGGAAGUAAAAGUCGUAACAAGGUUUCCGUAGGUGAACCUGCGGAAGGAUCAUUAUCGAGUUAGGGUCUCAUGGCCCGACCUCCAAACCUGUGUUUAAAAUACCUCUGUUGCUUUGGCGGGCCCGUCUUUGGACCGCCGGCGGUCAGCAAUGACCUCUGGCCAGCGCCCGCCGGAGACCCCUUUACAAUCAGUUGAAUGUGUCAUUCUCAGCUAAGAAACAAAUAGUUAAAACUUUCAACAACGGAUCUCUUGGUUCUGGCAUCGAUGAAGAACGCAGC